rnacentral:misc_RNA from 1 species
GAGAACCAAGAUAUCCAUUGUUAACAGUUGUAUAGUUUUUUGUUAUAGCUCAACUCAAGUUAAAGAGGAACUGUCGUCAUGUUAAGUGGUUGUUGAGGGAGCGUUAGCUCGCUGACCCAGUCGCCGGCCGUGUGGGCCUCCAGCGAUCGUUACUGCGUCACCCUUCAAGCACGAUCCAGAGGCACUCUGUCAGAGCUUUGAUGUGGUCCAGGUGCCAGGUCACUUGCCUUCACCGGAGUUGGAAAUUAAUCUCAUUCCGGCGGUGUUGAAAAUACUGGCGAGAGACCGAUAGCGAACAAGUACCGUGAGGGAAAGAUGAAAAGAACUUUGAAAAGAGAGUUAAGUUCACAGGGUUGUUUAACGUUGGAUACGUGUUAAUGAUCCUUCCGCAGGUUCACCUACGGAAACCUUGUUACGACUU